rnacentral:pre_miRNA from 3 species
UUCAAGUAAUCCAGGAUAGGCUUUGUGGACUAGGGUUGGCCUGUUCUUGGUUACUUGCACU